CACGUAGGGCGCAAGCGUUGUCCGGAAUUAUUGGGCGUAAAGAGCUCGUAGGCGGACUGUCACGUCUGCUGUGAAGAGCUGGGGCUUAACCCUGGCCUUGCAGUGGAUACGGGCAGACUAGAGGUAGGUAGGGGAGAAUGGAAUUCCCGGUGUAGCGGUGAAAUGCGUAGAUAUCUGGAGGAAUACCGGUGGCGAAGGCGGCAUCCUGGACCGGCAUUGACGCUGAUGAGCGAAAGCUAGGGGAGCAAACGGG
rnacentral:rRNA from 1 species